rnacentral:rRNA from 1 species
GACGUGACUUCAGAGUUUGAUCCUGGCUCAGGAUGAACGCUAGCGGCAGGCUUAACACAUGCAAGUCGAGGGGCAGCAUGAGACGGAGAUUCGUCGAAGUCUUGAUGGCGACCGGCGCAAGGGUGCGUAACGCGUGAGCAACUUGCCCGUUUCUGGUGAAUAACCGGUGGAAACGCCGACUAAUACACCAUAGUAUAUUCGAGAGGCAUCUCUUGAAUAUUAAAGAAUUUCGGAAACGGAUAGGCUCGCGUGACGUUAGCUAGAUGGCGGGGUAACGGCCCACCAUGGCUACGAUGUCUAGGGGUUCUGAGAGGAAGGUCCCCCACACUGGAACUGAGACACGGUCCAG